UACGGGAGGCAGCAGUGGGGAAUAUUGCACAAUGGGCGAAAGCCUGAUGCAGCUAUGCCGCGUGUAUGAAGAAGGCCUUAGGGUUGUAAAGUACUUUCAUCGGGGAGGAAAAAACAAAACUAAUAAUUUUAUUUCUUGACGCUACCCGAAAAAGAAGCACCGGCUAACUCCGUGCCAGCAGCCGCGGUAAUACGGAGGGUGCUAGCGUUAAUCAGAAUUACUGGGCGUAAAGAGCACGUAGGUGGUUUUUUAAAGUUCAGAUGUGAAAUCCCUGGGCUUAACCUAGGAACUGCAUUUUGAAACUGAAAUACUAGAGUAUCGUAGAGGGAGGUAGAAUUCUAGGUGUAGCGGUGAAAUGCGUAGAUAUCUGGAGGAAUACCUGUGGCGAAAGCGGCCUCCUAAACGAAUACUGACACUGAGGUGCGAAAGCGUGGGGAGCAAACGAGGAUUAGAUACC
rnacentral:rRNA from 1 species